rnacentral:piRNA from 1 species
AUGUCUGUGAGCUCCUAACUAAAUAUA